GGUAGUGGGGGAUAACCUGGGGAAACCCAGGCUAAUACCGCAUACGUCCUACGGGAGAAAGGGGGCUUCGGCUCCCGCUAUUGGAUGAGCCUAUGUCGGAUUAGCUAGUUGGUGAGGUAAUGGCUUACCAAGGCAACGAUCCGUAGCUGGUCUGAGAGGAUGAUCAGCCACAUCGGGACUGAGACACGGCCCGAACUCCUACGGGAGGCAGCAGUGGGGAAUAUUGGACAAUGGGGGGAACCCUGAUCCAGCCAUGCCGCGUGUGUGAAGAAGGCCCUCGGGUUGUAAAGCACUUUCAGCGAGGAAGAACGCCUAGUGGUUAAUACCCAUUAGGAAAGACAUCACUCGCAGAAGAAGCACCGGCUAACUCCGUGCCAGCAGCCGCGGUAAUACGGAGGGUGCAAGCGUUAAUCGGAAUUACUGGGCGUAAAGCGCGCGUAGGUGGCUUGAUAAGCCGGUUGUGAAAGCCCCGGGCUCAACCUGGGAACGGCAUCCGGAACUGUCAGGCUAGAGUGCAGGAGAGGAAGGUAGAAUUCCCGGUGUAGCGGUGAAAUGCGUAGAGAUCGGGAGGAAUACCAGUGGCGAAGGCGGCCUUCUGGACUGACACUGACACUGAGGUGCGAAAGCGUGGGUAGCAAACAGGAUUAGAUACCCUGGUAGUCCACGCCGUAAACGAUGUCGACCAGCCGUUGGGUGCCUA
rnacentral:rRNA from 1 species